GACGAACGCUGGCGGCGUGCUUAACACAUGCAAGUCGAACGGAAAGGCCCUGCUUUUGUGGGGUGCUCGAGUGGCGAACGGGUGAGUAACACGUGAGUAACCUGCCCUUGACUUUGGGAUAACUUCAGGAAACUGGGGCUAAUACCGGAUAGGAGCUCCUGCUGCAUGGGGGGGGUUGGAAAGUUUCGGCGGUUGGGGAUGGACUCGCGGCUUAUCAGCUUGUUGGUGGGGUAGUGGCUUACCAAGGCUUUGACGGGUAGCCGGCCUGAGAGGGUGACCGGCCACAUUGGGACUGAGGUACGGCCCAGACUCCUACGGGAGGCAGCAGUGGGGAAUAUUGCGCAAUGGGCGGAAGCCUGAUGCAGCAACGCCGCGUGCGGGAUGCCGGCCUUCGGGUUAUAAACCGCUUUCGCCUGUGACGAAGCGUGAGUGACGGUAAUGGGUAAAGAAGCACCGGCUAACUACGUG
rnacentral:rRNA from 1 species